GACGAACGCUGGCGGCGUGCCUAAUACAUGCAAGUAGAACGCUGAAGGAGGAGCUUGCUUCUCUGGAUGAGUUGCGAACGGGUGAGUAACGCGUAGGUAACCUGCCUGGUAGCGGGGGAUAACUAUUGGAAACGAUAGCUAAUACCGCAUAAUAGUAGAUGUUGCAUGACAUUUGCUUAAAAGGUGCAAUUACAUCACUACCAGAUGGACCUGCGUUGUAUUAGCUAGUUGGUGGGGUAACGGCUCACCAAGGCGACGAUACAUAGCCGACCUGAGAGGGUGAUCGGCCACACUGGGACUGAGACACGGCCCAGACGCCUACGGGAGGCAGCAGUAGGGAAUCUUCGGCAAUGGACGGAAGUCUGACCGAGCAACGCCGCGUGAGUGAAGAAGGUUUUCGGAUCGUAAAGCUCUGUUGUAAGAGAAGAACGAGUGUGAGAGUGGAAAGUUCACACUGUGACGGUAUCUUACCAGAAAGGGACGGCUAACUACGUG
rnacentral:rRNA from 1 species